AUACCCCCUGCUUGCGGCCGGGUUUCCACAACUUAGAUCUCUCAAAGGAAACCGUCCGGCCGCCCCUUUCCCUUCUACCUCUCCGCCACCGUAACUCACAAUCACCGCCACCGCUAUCCACCACCAUCUGCCGCCGCCCUCCGCCCAUUUGUUCUACUACAAGGUUUAAUCGUAUAAUUUCUGUCGGAAAUUGGUGGCAUAAAUCAAGCCCAUGGCAACACUAGAAGUUCAUGAAGGAAGAUUCAUCUUCAUGGGCUGGCAAACCAAACCCCAAAUCUCAUUUCAAAUUUCAAACUCAUUUUUCUAUUUCUUCAUUCUCCCUCUCAAAGGGUUUCUGGUCGCAACUCACCACGACUCAAAUUCUCAAAACCAGUCAUUCCAGAUCUGCUUUAUGUGCUCAACUUCUAGAGCGAGAAACUUCAAGAGAGAGAAACCGAUGGACGAGAAGUUGAUACAGUGGCUGGAAUCCGCCGUAGCACGGCUGGAAUCACUCUCUCUUCCUUCACAAUCCCGAUCUAUCGACGUUGAUGCGGUUGCCGCUUCCACGGAUCCAUCAUCAUCGCAUUUGAAGAUCUUUUGACAGAAUUCGUCUGCAAGGUGUUGACUGCUGCGGAGAAGAAUGGAGGACAAGUUAAGGAAGUUACUGAUCUGCUUAAUGAGGCGUUUUCUGUUCAGAAGGAGCUUCUGGUUAAGAUUAAGCAGACUAAGGUACAUUCAAGCUGACUCUUCAGUUUUCAGAAGAUUAUCAAAAUAAGCCACCAACAGUGCGUUUCAUUUCUUGAAUGUUCCAUCCAAACAUUUAUGCAGAUGGAAGCAUAUGCUUGGACAUCCUUCAAAAUCAAUGGAGUCCAAUUUAUGAUGUUGCUGCUAUUCUGACCUCAAUUCAGUCAUUGCUCUGUGAUCCAAACCCAAACUCGCCAACGUACUCAGAAGCAGCACGGUUAUUUAGUGAGAAUAAGCGCGAGUAUAACAGAAAAGUGAGAGAAGUUGUUGAGCAGAGCUGGACUGCCGACUAGACUAAGAUAACGGUGCUCGGGUUUAUGUCUCCUCUACUUGUGCAUUAUAUUCGUGAUCUGAGAACCGCUUAUAACAGUAAUAACGCGUGUUGUGGAAACUCUGUUGGUUUGAAAGUCCUAAACGAACAGUAAUAAUGACAGUUAAUCUAUUUCUAAAUGAAUAUUAAAGUGGAGUUUGUUGUUC